CUGGCCAUCAAUUCUGCACAAAAGUCCAGUUUGAAUCCUACUGCUUUUAUGAAACAUUCUCUGAUUAGAACAGAUUUUCUGGACUUUUCAACACUGUGAACCACUACGCACUUUUUGGAUAUGUCAAUGUGGGGAUGUCAACGUACUUUACAUGGCAUCACCCCCACUCCAAGAAUUUCCUUAAGGUGAACUGCUGUUACUUUCUGGAAGGUGCAGCCUAGGAACCCAUGUUGAAUUAUAUAAUUU